ACCAUGAGGAGGAAUUGAGGGCUGAAGAAAGGCUCACUGGCAAGUUUGGCAAAACUGAAUAUUGUCACUUCAAGGAGGAGGGGACCAUACAACUGAAGAAGAGCUCUUCUUAAAGGCGAGAGGCUUUGUCAGAUGGGCCAUCACAUUUGGGUCUCCAGCUUCUGAUCCCAGUCUGCAGGUGGCAAAGAAAUGAACAUGGCAUGCACAGUGCAUGCAAGGUGCACUCCAGACUCAGCCUGCUCAGAAAUUCAAUAUGACAGCCUAGACUCGCUUUCCCAAGGCCUUUUUUAUACCAUGUUUGCACCCCUAUACUGCCUACAGCCUGAUGAAGAAAUACUCCAUUAGCUUUCAUUUAACUAGCAGGGACAGUAACAGCAGCCCAAACAGAGGUGUGCAGAGGUGAGGUCACACCAGUUUUAGGUCUGAGUGAUAUCCAGCCACUGACUGCUGUAGCUGCUCUGAUCAUGCUUCUUGCAAUAAGCAAGAUUAGACUCUGGAGAUCUAGAACUGUCUUCAAAGAACAGUGAUGUUGGUACCCCGUUUUUCUAGACAGAUACAACUGAGCAGGAAGAUGCGUAUCUCAUUCUCACACUUGGGAGAAGGUCAGGAGCCAGCACUGGUGGUGUGGCUGGGAGGGAAGGAGAAAGAUCCACGUGGGGCACAGAUACAGAACUGCAGGUUCUCAGAUCGGGCAGGAUCUCAGAAACGGGCACUGACCCUCAGCUGGUCACCACCAUUGUUGCCAUGCUUCUACACGUACCCUUCCUCUCACCUUUGAUCCCCAUAUCACACAUCUGUGGCUAAAGCCUAGGUCCAGUCCAUCCUCCUGCAACAUCCAAUACAGAGCAACCUCCUUGGAGACACCUGUUCCCAGUAUUACCUACUUCACAUCCUGUGCCACAAGGGUAGAACAUACAUAUGCAUAGGUUGGGGAUGGAGCAAACAACCUGGUGCCAGCUAUUAGGGACGUUUAGAGGCUCAGUGAUUUUCACUUUUCUGUAAUGCUUGUAGAUAAGCCUACAAGGAAACUCCAAUUAUGCUUUUCUUGGCAAGGGAGCACUACAGAAUAUAAAUUAUUUACUAACUCUUUUAGAUGCUUUAAUCAAUACUUUAUCAAUUAUUAUUACCAGUGUGAAUAAUGCCUGUGAUCCUUCAUAAGCAAAGUGCUUAACUGCAUGCCUAAACUCAAUGCAUUUUGUCUAAUUUAAUCCCUGCCACAGGCAAUUUCUUACAAACAUCAAGCAAACUGGGGCCCUAGGGCCUGUACUGUGAGAUAAUAGAUCCUACAGUUCCAAGCUGGCCAAAAUGAUUGUUGAUGAAACGUUAGUUUUGAUCUGAGUGAUAUCUCUCCUAUUGAAAACUGAUGACUUUAUUUUGUCAUCAUUAAUAAUGGACAAAAAUUAAAUGAUCCUUUUUUCUUUCCAAAUCCUUCUGAAAAUAUUUGUUUCUUUAAUAGCUUAAGAAAGUAAAUUUUUCUAAUAAAAAUAUUUUCUGAGC
rnacentral:lncRNA from 7 species